rnacentral:tRNA from 1 species
GGAAAGAUGUCCGAGCGGUUUAAGGUACAUCCUUGGAAGGGAUGCGUAGCAGAAAUGUUACCGGGAGUUCGAAUCUCCCUCUUUCCG